rnacentral:rRNA from 1 species
UGAGUAAUAGUGUGUUAGUAGUGUGAAUUGGCAUUUAGAAAAGUAUAGGCAUAGAAAUUGAAGUUUGUGAGCCGUGAGGUGAGAAAGAAAUAGGUUUAUAGAAUGUGUUAGAGCAGUACUUUUUGCAUCAUGGCCUGUAGAGAGAUGUAAGUUAGCUUGGUUCCCGAAAAGCUUUGAUCUACACCAAGCAUAAGGAAGAUGUUGCAAAAUCUAGAAAAGCUUGGUGUAGGGGUGAGAUGCCUUCCGCAAAGUUUGAUAGCUGGUUGAGGGUGAAAUGCAUAUAAGUGCAGGAUAGCCGACGUUGUUAAGAGGGGUCUUAGUGGGGUCUGGCCGUCUGAUCUGACGGUGAGUUAGCUCCGUCAGUGUUGAGGAAAAAUAGAAAUUAAGUAGGGUUUGAAUUGCCUUUCUAGCAAGUUUAUUUAAAGGGGUUUCUUAAGGAAGAUUAGUUAGGUAACCUUCUAGGCGGAAUAAUUUGUUCCGUUUAGAGUAGUAUAGGAUUAGUAGAGAAAAGACUGUAGGAGUAUGAGUGCUUGCACUAAAGCUAUAUAGAGAUACAGUGGAUAUAGUAUGAUAGGUACCCCUAAUGAACUCGGCAAUUGUUUCUUGCACCUGUUUAUUAAAAACAUGGCUUCUUGUAAAGAAAAAAAAGAGGUCUAGCCUGCCCGGUGAGCUAAGCUUAAACGGUCGCAGUAUGCCUGUGCUAAGGUAGCAUAAUAGGUUGUCCUUUAAUUGGGGAAUAGUAUGAAUGGUUGGAUGAUGGGAAUACUUUAUUGGGGGUAAGGCUUGAAUUUUACUUGUAAGUGCAAAGGCUUACGUUAUCUUAUUAGACGAGAAGACCCUAUUGAGCUUGGUAACCUUUAGCCGUAGGGGUUGGAGGUAUGUUUUUUCGGGGAAGAAAGAAAGGGAUAGUUAUGCCUUUUUUUUGGGGCGUUGAUCCGGUACGACCGAAAAGAGGAAGAUAGUUACCAUAGGGAUAACAGCGCAAUAUUAUUGUAGAGUUCUUAUUGGAGAUAGUGAUUGCGACCUCGAUGUUGAAUCAGGGUAACUCCCAGGUGCAGCCGCUUGGGGAGUGGGACUGUUCGUCCUUUAAACCCUUACGUGAUUUGAGUUUAGACCGGCGCGAGCUAGGUCGGUUUCUAUCUGUAUUAGCGCAACCCUUUGUACGAAAGGAUCGGGGUUGGUCAGGCUUAUCCUGUGAGAUUGAUGAGGGUUGAGUAGUGGAGUGAAGCCUAGGGGUAAGGCGGAUCAUUG